AGAAAAUCCGUGUUUACUAAAUUAAACAUGGAUUUCCUACCAAAAAGAUUUUGGUAGGAAAUCUGUAUUAAAUGGGCUUACAAAUUAUGUUUACAUUUUUUGGUCAUACAACAAGAGUUAACAUCAAUACUUUUAGUAAACACGGAAAAGCUGUAGAAAUCAACAGCUGUCCUGUGGGAUACUUGACACUCUGUUUUGGGGUGGACACUGUGAGCUUAACUACCCAUGCCAUCAUUUUCCUAUAUAUUUUCAGGAUGACCUGAAAAUAUAAGAAAGUAACACAGUUAGUGGGAGGCUGGAAGCCAUCGGCACGGAGGGCUGAUGAGACUGGCAGCGCCAUGUGCCCAUGAGCAGCCGGAGCAUGUGGGUCAAACCCUUCACUGUGAUGAAAGCUUACGGAGCUCCUUAUCUUUACGAAGGUGAUGUGGACACAUUCGAAGAAGAUGUUAUGCAUUGAAGACAGCGAUCCGUUGCACUGGCUUUCUUUUUUGGCACCUGCGAUGUUGGAGGUGUUCCUGAGAUGGACUGAUGGUGCUGCCUGUCUGGCAGGAAGUUACAAAGAUUUCGAUGAUGUUGACAGUUGCUCCAUGAUGCUAAGCACUGGUUCAUAGAAGCAGAGUGUCGUCGAAACAUAUAUAGGCAGGGACAGGAAGCGUAUGCCUGCAAAGGCACGGAACAUUUCGAGGGGGGUGGCCGAGGCAUGACGGAGGUUGGCAGGCAACAUCAGGUGUUGCAAACGGUGCAUGCCAGUACGUCUGUGCUGGGGCUGUGCAUGAGGGGCACCCAGCCUGGCAGAACCAUUGGCAGGUGGUCACGGCAAGGCCUCCUCGAACCAGCAGGUGGUAGCCGCCGACCAGAGGGCCCCAACCUGCCACGGAAAACAGUGGCAGCCAUUUCAAAGCCGGCCACGGAACAGUAGCCACACAACGACAACAGGUAUGGGCAGCCAAGAGGAGCAAUCCCAGAUAGGACACAACACUGAAUGCGGCAGGAGGCCAGAAACCACAUACAGGCUCAUGAGCGACAGGCCGCCGAGAGAACCGCAGAUGGCGCAAUGCAGUGCACGGCCAUUGGAGACAUGGUACCCUCCAUGCAUGCACAGCCAUCUCGAGCACAUGAUGUGCUGACACAGCAUGCAUCAUUUGGUGUAUGCCCCAAGCACGCCUACAGGCAUCGCCUGCUUAAGGCUAGUAUAGAAGUUCUGAAGAGUUACUCACAAGUCAACAGCACAGCAUAGUGGGCUCAGUGAUGGGCCACAGAGUAGGACCUCUCAGGUUCGGGACACACAGG
rnacentral:lncRNA from 1 species